rnacentral:lncRNA from 1 species
AUAUACUUACUGUACAAUUGAUUAAUUAUCCGGGGUGAGCAAGGGCGUAGAACCAGUUCUUCUUAUCAAUUUUUUCGCAACCCAAAUCCAACAAAGGAUUGAGAUGGUUAUCCUUCUUGGAAUAGAAGUGUUUCCUCCUGUAAUAAUAAUAGAAUUAAACAAACAACUACAAAAAUAAAAUCAUUGGCAACUUUAAAGUCUAAAAAUGAGAGGAAAAAAAUAAAACAAG